rnacentral:rRNA from 1 species
CCUACGGGUGACUGCAGUGAGGAAUAUUGGUCAAUGGGCGGAAGCCUGAACCAGCCAAGUCGCGUGAGGGAUUAAGGCCCUGCGGGUCGUAAACCUCUUUUGCCGGGGAGCAGUGGUCCGGACGUGUCCGGGCCGGGAGAGUACCCGGAGAAAAAGCAUCGACUAACCCCGUGCCAGCAGCCGCGGUAAUACGGGGGAUGCGAGCGUUAUCCGGAUUUAUUGGGUUUAAAGGGUGCGUAGGCGGGCAUUUAAGCCGGCGGUCAAAUGUCGGGGCUCAACCCCGGCCUGCCGUCGGAACUGGGUGCCUUGAGUGGGCGAGAAGUAUGCGGAAUGCGUGGUGUAGCGGUGAAAUGCAUAGAGAUCACACAGAACCCCGAUUGCGAAGGCAGCAUACCAGCGCCCUACUGACGCUGAGGCACGAAAGUGCGGGUAUCGAACAGGAUUAGAUACCCGUGUAGUC